AAAUAAUAUAUUUCAUUCACUAACCUCUUUUCCCACCCUUUUCUUUAGCCGUCUUCCCCAACCCAUCUGUUCUUGUACUCAACCGAUAAUAGAGAGCACAUCCAGCCACUGAGGUAGGACAUUGGGGUCUAUAAAUCAGAGCCUUGCAGACAGAGUGAGAAUAAUGGCUUCAGUGUUGGGGUUCCAAUGUGAGGAUACUCAAUAUGCCACAUAUUUAGAUCUGUCCCAGUCAGAGGCAGUCUUUUCUCUGAGGGAUGAGUGCCAGUGUGUAUGUUCUAAUAAUCUGCAUCAUUGAGUCUAUUUACUGUACAUAGAUUAGAUCCCCAAGCACAGAUAAGAGACAUGUGCGUCCCUCUCAUGUCCGCCCUCUGCUCACAAAGCCUAAACCUCUGUCAAGUUAUUCAUUAACAUGAGUAGUGCACCACCUAGCGGCCAGUUGCAGAACCGCUCCCCUUUUGCCAAAGCAAGCUAGCUAUUUCGAAGACAGCGUUUGGCCAGGCAAGAAGGAACAUUCCAUUAGCUAGACAUACAUAUUUGAUUGUCACCGUUGACCUAUGUUAUGGACUCCAGUCUUAGAAGGCGAUUUGUAUUGAGUUACACCGACAACUCACCAAUUCAAGUGAUUAGGCAUAUAUCUCGGCCUCCACAGUCUCCCUGUCCUCAAGUACCCGACAUUACAGAGGCCACUGGACUUGAAUGGUUUGAAAUAGCGACCUCGACCGGACCCUCGAGCUCGGACCAAGGAGUGCCAUGCUCCCCGUGUGUGUCAGGAUCAAUGUCCGGCAGCGUCCAGUGCUCCCCGAUCUGCAACUUUGCAGUUCCAUGUACUCCAGUUCAGAGGUCAUGGAGUAUCCUUCUCAGCCAAGAGGAGGAUCUCUGGAGGGGGAGUCCUGCUUGUUGCGGCACCAUAUCCCCUCUGGCUCAAACUGUUCCAGUUCUAGGAAAGAGAAGAGUUUUUGAUGAAGCCCAUUUGUCAACAAAGAAAGGAUCUUCAGACAGCCAUCCCAGAGAGGAGGUGAUGGUUGACAGAAGAAUCAAAGAAAAAAAAGAAGGAAAUGAGAGCAUGGUAGAUCCAUCAUCCUUUUAACAGACAUUGAUUGUUCGAUAUUGUCUUCAAUUAUCAUCUUCUACUCAGUUUUCUCUUUGUAUUCCCUUAUUGUUCAUGAUACCUUCUAAAAUAUUCUAACUUCACAUACCUUAUCUAUGAAGUUAUUUUAUUCAUGUUAUAGUAGACUUGUGGAGAAUAAUAAUUAAACCACCAGAUGACACUGUU